AUUUGCCGCUCUGAUUGCCACACUCUAGUUUGAAAUGAGCGCCCGCAAUGGACACGAGAUCACUUGUUCCCAUCGCGCUCAUAUUCCUAACCAUCUGCAUUGCACAGGUUGAAAUGGCGAAGUCUCGAGGUAAUCGCAAGUUCAUCAUAAAAUGCUGUGGACGAAAGUCGUGCUCGAAAUUGCCUCCGAAAAAAGCAAAUCGCACAAUUAUCACGCAAUCAACCAAACCAACUUUGAUUUCCUCAUCGAGGUUUUCAACUAAAGGCUCAGAUAAAAUUAUUGAAAAGAGUUCUGAUGAUCCAAAACCUGCAGAAACUGAACAACAGAAGGAAACAAAGAUCAUUCGUGAGUAAACAUUGUUUUUUUUACUUUCAGUGGAAAUUUACAGAAGGAACCACGCAUACAAGCAAUAUAAC